GCAAUGGGAGCGGCAGACGGGUGAGUAACGCGUGGGGAUCUGCCCAAUGGUACGGAAUAACCCAGGGAAACUUGGAUUAAUACCGUAUGUGCCCUUCGGGGGAAAGAUUUAUCGCCAUUGGAUGAACCCGCGUCGGAUUAGCUAGUUGGUGUGGUAAAGGCGCACCAAGGCGACGAUCCGUAGCUGGUCUGAGAGGAUGAUCAGCCACACUGGGACUGAGACACGGCCCAGACUCCUACGGGAGGCAGCAGUGGGGAAUAUUGGACAAUGGGCGCAAGCCUGAUCCAGCCAUGCCGCGUGUGUGAUGAAGGCCUUAGGGUUGUAAAGCACUUUCGCCGGUGAAGAUAAUGACGGUAACCGGAGAAGAAGCCCCGGCUAACUUCGUGCCAGCAGCCGCGGUAAUACGAAGGGGGCAAGCGUUGCUCGGAAUCACUGGGCGUAAAGCGUACGUAGGCGGGUCGUUAAGUCAGGGGUGAAAUCCUGGAGCUCAACUCCAGAACUGCCCUUGAUACUGGCGAUCUUGAGUUCGAGAGAGGUUGGUGGAACUGCGAGUGUAGAGGUGAAAUUCGUAGAUAUUCGCAAGAACACCAGUGGCGAAGGCGGCCAACUGGCUCGAUACUGACGC
rnacentral:rRNA from 1 species